rnacentral:lncRNA from 1 species
CCCCAACCCCGUGUUAUGAUGUCAUCGUCCUGAGACAUCCAUGACCAGCUAAAGGAAAUAGUGGCUAGUAAAGAGAGAUCCACGUGACUCAGGGUAAGGAAGAUGGGGGUGGGGGGUGCAAGAUGACAGAGACAAAUCAGGCCUUCCUGUGACUCUGGCCUUCCUCUGAAUUGGGAAGAUUGGAUGCAAGGAACACCUGCUGUAAUCCAGCUAGCCUGCAUUUGUUCAUUCCUCGCACACUGAGUACUUGCUAUGUGCCCAACCUGGCGCUGCGAACACCCAGACCUGAUGGCUUCCUCUAAUGUAGAUCCCGAUAGGUGAGAAAAACAAAAUGGAGAUACAGAAAAACCAUUGCCUGUUCAGUGCUCAGUGAGCUUGGCGGACAUUGUGUGAGCCAGGGAGAGGGGCAGGUAUGAGGAAAAGUGCUGAAAGGCAGAGAAGUAAAGGAGCAGCCGCAAGAGACAUCUCACCUCUACCGAAUCCUCAGAACUCUACAGGUCUGCAAAGAUAAGGGGCCUUUACAGCGCAUGGCAAAAGGCCGUGUUCAUCUCCACACUCCUACAGCGAGGUGAGAGACCGAGACAGAUGAAUUCCAGCAGUUUGCGGGUCAGCUAGUGGGACAUGCAACAGCACAAAGAGAACCUGACUCAGACAAGCUGGGGGCAAGGACCAACAGCCCAGUGAGGGGACCCCAGACACUUGGAGCUGUCCUGAAAAGAUUGUCCUGGACUUUGGCUUCCUUGAUCUCAGAGGUCCUGCUGUCUGAUCCUUCUCCAGAUGGUCUCUGCUCUGAAGUCCCAAGAUGACGCCCUCUUCCCAUUGCAGUGUGCUGCUCCAGCCCUCACCUGGCAGCCCAAAUCAUAGGAGUCAGAGAGUGGUGGUGACACUGGGGGGACACCAGCCUUCUCCCUUACCUGAGCCUUCCCUCAUUCCUGGCAUGAUCGGGCCACUGCCUUACCCUGGGCCCUGAACACUGGCCUAGAGCCAGGGAAGACACCAGGCUUCAUUCCAGGAGUCCCCUUUCCUGGAAUAGGCCAAAGACCAGGUUUGGAGACUGCUUUCCAAUCUCCAGCCUGACCUGGGUCAGACUCAGGCCGGAGUGGUGGGG